rnacentral:ribozyme from 2 species
ACUUUAAACUCACUUGACUAAGUCAAAAGGUCCAAAGUCCUUGAAAAGAGUGAUGGGAGU